UUCAAGGUCUCCACAUACAUCAUAUACAUGGAGAGCAUGAUAUGGAUUGUAUGAUUUGGUGACCUCGGACCAGGCUUCAAUCCCUUUAACCAGCAUCUGCACAAUUCGCACGCCUCAUGCAUAUGAUAGUUCCAGCGGCGGUGGUUUGCUUCUAAGGUGCAGAUUUGUCUUUCAUCCAUUGAUUAGCGCAGGCUGUAUUUGUUUCUGGGAGCUGCGCAGAUUUGUUCAUACAGUAGACUUUCAUUCUCAUAUGUUGUCCAGCAUGAAGCCAUGACCAGGCAUACAUUAAACUUGCAAUCCAUGCGCAUAAAUGUACUAGGCUAGCUAGGUAGCAUGUUCAUGUGAGAAACGAUGUAGAAGAGCUAGCAGCAAAGAUGAACUGUGUGUGGACGUGUGGUGUGAAUUUCUUCUCCCAUUUCAUCUUCCACAUAUGCACGGAUGCACCCCAUGCUUCCAGUCAACUUGCAUUUGUGCAUUGGCGUCAAACAAAUCUUAGCCAUGCAUGUUUACAUCAGUAGUACAAGAAAACGACACACCUAUAUAUUAUACAGCUAGCACAUGUUCGUUUUCAUGCUGGCAGUGAAAAUGCUCUUUGGCAAAACUACUCCACAAUAAUGCAUGCAAAUUACUACAACUAAUCCUGGAAGAAGCUAGCUGCUAGGGUGGAGUAUGGAUCGAUUAUUAGGGACAGGAACUGACCAAGCAUUUAAGCAGGACUGGCUCGACACUCAUGUAUGACAAAGGAAUGGGGAAUGGCUGGCCAGGCUCAUUACUUGGCUCACGUGGCUGCUGUGAGAGAGAUGCCAUGCACAGUACUGCUCCUCUGGUUGCAUCUGAACGGCGUGCGAUCGGUUGAUCCCAUUCGCUGCCUGUUCUCUCUGGGAGUUUUGUUCCAUCCGUCUGCAAAUCGCAGAACUACGUAGUCGUACCCAUGCUGGUGGCCUUGUGCAUUAACUUUUGUAUGCAGGUUGAAGCGCUUCUCGUGACAGUUAGGAGAGUAGAUUGGUCACCAAAUUGUUUUUACCAUUAUAUUUUAAGUUCUAAUUUUAAAAUACAUAGGAAUCUGAUAACGCCUCAAUUACGAGACAUGGCAGAUUCAACAUUUUCGA